rnacentral:lncRNA from 1 species
AAUAUUUUGAUGACUGAUAACAAAAUCUCUGAAGAAGCUAUUAUUUUCGUAAAAACGAAUUUCUAUACCUUUUAUGUAUCUAAAUAUUUUUUAUUUAGUUCAGGAACCAACGGAUGACCCAGUUGAUUCAGAUGUAAGCAUUCAUGCUUUUAAAACUAUUUUUAAUGUGUCUUUUUAAGUUAUGAUCCAAAUUUGAGGGCUUCUUCUACAGGCUCAGGAUGGUGAUGAUGAUGCCAAUGAUGCAGGAGGCGAUGACGCUGAUGAUGACAUCAACUCGGAUGCAAUGGAAGAUGAUGAUGUACGUAUAUGGGUGUUUCCUUUGCUGCUGGUUUUACCAAAAUGCUUUGCAUUGUGAGUCGAUGCUUUUCUUACUUCAUUUUCUUUUUCUAUGCUUAUUAUGCAGUAUGAACUGUAGGAAGCAUAGAGAAUACACACAAAAGAUUAUCCAUAUGCGUGUAUGAUCUGCAUUACAGAUUAUUAUAUGUUGAUCUUUUUCCUUCUACUUAUGUAUGUUAGAGUACAAGAAGAAAAUUGAUACAUGCAAGCAGAAAGCGACUGCUGCCAAAUCCGAAACUGCUGCUGAUGAAAAACUAGGUUUGUUGCAGAAAGAGUUGAAAGAGGAGCAAAAGGAAGAACAUAUGCU